rnacentral:rRNA from 1 species
UACGAAGGGGGCGAGCGUUGUUCGGAAUUACUGGGCGUAAAGGGCGCGUAGGCGGCGACCCAAGUCAGAUGUGAAAGUCCUGGGCUUAACCUGGGGACUGCAUUUGAUACUGGGUUGCUUGAAUUCGGGAGAGGAUAGCGGAAUUCCCAGUGUAGAGGUGAAAUUCGUAGAUAUUGGGAAGAACACCGGUGGCGAAGGCGGCUAUCUGGACCGACAUUGACGCUGAGGCGCGAAAGCGUGGGGAGCAACCAGG